CCUCCCUCCCUCCCCCUCUAGGAAGAAGAAGCCAAACACCUCGUGAGAGAUGCUAUUGCAGCCGGCAUAUUUAAUGACCUGGGCUCUGGCAGUAACAUCGAUAUCUGUGUCAUUAACAAGAGCAAGCUGGACUUCCUCCGUCCGUACAACACACCAAACAAAAAGGGGGAAAGGCAAGGAAAAUACCGGUGUGAGAAGGGCACCACGGGCAUCCUAUCGGAAAAGGUUAUCUGCCUGGAACUGGAAGUGGCGGAGGAGACGGUGCAGACCAUGGACACGUCCUGAUUCCCGGCAGAGAGUCCGGGACACGGUUAGGGGACCGAGAGUAUUCCUUCAAAGUCAAAAUAAUUUGUUACAAUUAACCGAAUGAAUAAAUGAAUAAUAAAUAAUGGAAACAGG